rnacentral:lncRNA from 1 species
ACAAACAGACUAAAAGAACAAUGUCCCCAUUUUUUUUCUUUCAUGCUAACCACUAUAAUUUUUAAUUACAGAUUCAUUUGUCUACCUCUUUAUUAUGUCUCACCUCAAGUAGACUGGGAGUCUCUACAUUCACGCUCCUACAGAACCCAGGGCCAGGAGAAGAAUGGAACUUUUACUUCUACCACAAAAAGAAUUGACACGCAGGAUAAUUGACCUUUGAAACACACAGAUUGCUUCAGCAUUCAGAAUCCAAUAUCAUGUAGGCACAUGAGGAAGCCUACAUGGAAGACAAUUGAGACCUCAGCUAAAUUCCCAGUCAGUAACCAGCACCAACCUGCUAG